ACUAACAGGAUUCCCUAGUAACGGCGAGUGAACAGGGAUUAGCCCAGCACCGAAGUCUGCGUCCUGUUUGGGCGUUAGACAAUGUGGUGUUUAGGUUGGCGCUUUUGAGAGUUGCUCCGUUUCAAGUCCAUUCUUGAAUAUGGCUAAUAGUUUGGCCCAAAGAGGGUGAAAGGCCCGUGUGGAUGUAGUAAUGCUUGACUGUGCUGGCUGAAGAGUCGGGUUGUUUGAGAACGCAGCCCAAAGUUGGUGGUAAACUCCCAUCUAAGGCUAAAUACUGGCACGAGUCCGAUAGCGAACAAGUACCGUGAGGGAAAGUUGAAAAGUACUCUGAAGAGAGAGUUAACAGUGCGUGAAACCGCUUAGCAGCAAACGGGUGUAGUCAAGCUGCACGCUUCAAGAAAUAGGGUGGUCAGAAUGGCGUGAGCCUGAGCGCAUUGGGCUGGUGUUA
rnacentral:rRNA from 1 species